rnacentral:rRNA from 1 species
AAGUUUAUUGCUUAAAAGAUAAAAGGUACUCCGGGGAUAACAGACUUAUGUUCCUUCAGAGUUCACAUCGACGGGAACGUUUGGCACCUCGAUGUCGAUUCAACGUAUAACCUGGUGGUGAAGAAGCUGCCUAAGGUCGGACUGUUCGUCCGUUAAAACGUUACGCGAAUUGGGUUUAGAACGUCGUGAGACAGUUUGGUCCCUAUCCGUUGCAGACUAAAAGACUAAAAGAUUAAACCCUAGUACGAGAGGACCGGAGUUUAGCAAACCUCUGGUGUUCCGGUUGUAGUUCUUGCAUCGCCGGGCAGCUACGUUUGGUAGGAAUAAUCGCUGAAAGCAUAUUAAGCGAGAGGUCUUUCUUUGAAGUCUUUUCUUUGUUGUAGAACACAACAUAAAUAGGC